CUUGUACUCCCUCCGUCCGAAAAUACUUGUCAUUGAAAUGGAUGUAUCUAGAUGUAUUUUAGUUCUAGACACAUCCAUUUUGAUGANAAAUGGAUGUAUCUAGAUGUAUUUUAGUUCUAGACACAUCCAUUUUGAUGACAAGUAAUUCCGGGCGGAGGGAGUACUUG
rnacentral:pre_miRNA from 1 species